UACGAAGGGGGCUAGCGUUGCUCGGAAUCACUGGGCGUAAAGCGCACGUAGGCGGAUCUUUAAGUCAGGGGUGAAAUCCUGGAGCUCAACUCCAGAACUGCCUUUGAUACUGGCGAUCUCGAGUCCGGGAGAGGUGAGUGGAACUGCGAGUGUAGAGGUGAAAUUCGUAGAUAUUCGCAAGAACACCAGUGGCGAAGGCGGCUCACUGGCCCGGUACUGACGCUGAGGUGCGAAAGCGUGGGGAGCAACAGG
rnacentral:rRNA from 1 species